GGAGCAGUGCGAGAGCGGCCGAAUCGGCGCCCUUGAAACCGGCGUGAGGAGUAACUACCUCCGAGGGUUCGAAUCCCUCCUGCUCCGCCA
rnacentral:tRNA from 1 species